GAAAAAAUUUGGAAAUUGGAUACAGAAUAUACAUACAGACCACGUCUUGACUACCCUUCCUAUUGGUGACCAGUGGGACUUCCUCAACAGAAACUUCCAGCCUGUUGUGAAUCAGUCUCUGUCUUUGCUGCAGCUGCUUUUACCUUUCCCCUACACACAAGACUUUGAGCUGA